rnacentral:rRNA from 1 species
CAGUAGCCGCGGGAAUACGUAGGGUGCAAGCGUUAAUCGGAAUUACUGGGCGUAAAGCGUGCGCAGGCGGUUUUGUAAGUCUGUCGUGAAAUCCCCGGGCUCAACCUGGGAAUGGCGAUGGAGACUGCAAGGCUAGAAUCCGGCAGAGGGGGGUAGAAUUCCACGUGUAGCAGUGAAAUGCGUAGAUAUGUGGAGGAACACCGAUGGCGAAGGCAGCCCCCUGGGCUAAGACUGACGCUCAUGCACGAAAGCGUGGGGAGCAAACAGGAUUAGAUACCCGUGUAGUCCCUGUCUCUUAUAU